ACGUAGGUGGCGAGCGUUGUCCGGAUUUAUUGGGUUUAAAGGGUGCGUAGGCGGCUUAAUAAGUCAGUGGUGAAAUACUCCAGCUUAACUGGAGGGGUGCCAUUGAUACUGUUGAGCUUGAGUACAGAUGAGGUAGGCGGAAUUGACGGUGUAGCGGUGAAAUGCAUAGAUAUCGUCAAGAACACCGAUAGCGAAGGCAGCUUACUGGGCUGUAACUGACGCUGAUGCACGAAAGUGUGGGGAUCAAACAGGA
rnacentral:rRNA from 1 species